UCUUAUGUAGUAUAGUGGUUAGUAUUCACGUCCGCCAGACUAAGGGUUUAAGUCGAAGUUCAAGCGUGUGCGAGAAACCGGGGUUCAAAUCCUCGCCUGAGAG